CCAUCGCCCUCCAUCCCCUCCAACCCCCUCCAUCCCCUCCAAUCCCCUCCAACCCCCUCCAUCCCCCUCCAAUCCCCUCCAACCCCCUCCAUCCCCCUCAAUCCCCCUCCAAUCCCCUUUCUACCAGCCAUGUUGUGUUGCAUCUCAGCUAAAAGAGGUGGAAUCUAAGAACCUUUGGAAUAGAUUCUGACAGACGUUACCAGGAUGACUGACUCAGCCCCGUUGGUUGGAUUACCAGAGGAGAGGGCGGGACAAUGCUGCAGAUGACAGAUGCAGAAGCCAAUCAGAUUGGGAAUCAGCAGACCCCUUGGCCAAUGCAACAGGACGGCCUACUGCUGCAGAUGCCUGGACUACAGCGCCUCCUGGAGUUGUGACGUGGGAAGACGACAGUUGCAGGAGAGUCACAUGGAGGUGGUGAAAGAUGAGCAGUCCUUUUGCUGUAUGACGCUUCCUGAAACACCCCGCGGUAUACCAACCUCCGACCGCUGGAGACCUCCUCAGCUAACAAGCAUCGGAUAGAAAACACCAUCACUGUCUUUUACCUCUGAGAGGAGAAACGGAUGAAAUUCACAAUGGAAAAGAUGAGAAAACAUGACUCACUGGAGGACAGGGCUCUGACAUGCCUUUCCAUUAGGGACAACAUCACUGACAGGAUAUAGAAUACUCUACCUGGACAACAUCCCUGACAGGAUAUAGAAUACUCUACCUGGACAACAUCACUGACAGGAUAUAGAAUACUCUACCUGGAUAACAUCCCUGACAGGAAAUAGAAUACUCUACCUGGAUAACAUCACUGACAGGAUAUAGAAUACUCUACCUGGAUAACAUCCCUGACAGGAAAUAGAAUACUCUACCUGGAUAACAUCACUGACAGGAAAUAGAAUACAACAUCACUGACAGGAUAUAGAAUACUCUACCUGGAUAACAUCACUGACAGGAUAUAGAAUACUCUACCUGGACAACAUCACUGACAGGAUAUAGAAUACUCUACCUGGACAACAUCCCUGACAGGAUAUAGAAUACUCUACCUGGAUAACAUCACUGACAGGAUAUAGAAUACUCUACCUGGACAACAUCCCUGACAGGAUAUAGAAUACUCUACCUGGACAACAUCACUGACAGGAUAUAGAAUACUCUACCUGGACAACAUCCCUGACAGGAUAUAGAAUACUCUACCUGGAUAACAUCACUGACAGGAUAUAGAAUACUCUACCUGGAUAACAUCACUGACAGGAUAUAGAAUACUCUACCUGGACAACAUCACUGACAGGAUAUAGAAUACUCUACCUGGACAACAUCACUGACAGGAAAUAGAAUACUCUACCUGGAUAACAUCACUGACAGGAAAUAGAAUACUCUACCUGGAUAACAUCACUGACAGGAUAUAGAAUACUCUACCUGGACAACAUCACUGACAGGAUAUAGAAUACAACAUCACUGACAGGAUAUAGAAUACUCUACCUGGAUAACAUCCCUGACAGGAUAUAGAAUACUCUACCUGGACAACAUCACUGACAGGAUAUAGAAUACUCUACCUGGAUAACAUCACUGACAGGAAAUAGAAUACAACAUCACUGACAGGAAAUAGAAUACUCUACCUGGACAACAUCACUGACAGGAUAUAGAAUACUCUACCUGGAUAACAUCACUGACAGGAUAUAGAAUACUCUACCUGGAUAACAUCACUGACAGGAAAUAGAAUACUCUACCUGGAUAACAUCACUGACAGGAUAUAGAAUACAACACCUGGACAACAUCACUGACAGGAUAUAGAAUACAAUAUCACUGACAGGAAAUAGAAUACUCUACCUGGACAACAUCACUGACAGGAUAUAGAAUACUCUACCUGGAUAACAUCACUGACAGGAUAUAGAAUACUCUACCUGGACAACAUCACUGACAGGAUAUAGAAUACUCUACCUGGAUAACAUCCCUGACAGGAUAUAGAAUACUCCACCUGGAUAACAUCACUGACAGGAUAUAGAAUACUCUACCUGGAUAACAUCACUGACAGGAUAUAGAAUACUCUACCUGGAUAACAUCACUGACAGGAUAUAGAAUACAACAUCACUGACAGGAUAUAGAAUACUCUACCUGGAUAACAUCCCUGACAGGAUAUAGAAUACACAAUGCAUCUGACACAGAUUUAACUACGUGGACAACAUUACUGACAGAGAUUUAAACCAGGUGGACAACACUGUGUCUGAUAUGGACAGGAGACACCAGCACUGCUCUGAUGACCUGCAGAGAAGAGAGGACACAAACAGACAGAGAUUUAAACCAGGUGGACAACACUGUGUCUGAUAUGGACAGGAGACACCAGCACUGCUCUGAUGACCUGCAGAGAAGAGAGGACACAAACAGACAGAGAUUUAAACCAGGUGGACAACACUGUGUCUGAUAUGGACAGGAGAAAGCAGCACUGCUCUGAUGACCUGCAGAGAGGACAGGAGACAAAGAGACAGAUGUACAGAAGACGUUACUUGAAUCGUCUUCCACAUACACGUGAAUAAUGUAUAGUCAUUUGUAAACCCACUGAUCUUGGUGCCCUUUGCUUAAUGUAUUCAACAUGACCCCGGGACAACUUACUCCUUCUAAGGCUGAGAAACAGGUGUGUGAAAAUAUAUGACAGAUAAUGACAACAAUACGACGGGGGGUUUCUGUAUGCAGACAUUGAAUAAUAUCAUGUUCUGUAUAGAUAUGACAACAAUACGACGGGGGUUUUCUGUAUGCAGACAUUGAAUAAUAUAAUGUUCUGUAUAGAUAUGACAACAAUACGACGGGGGUUUUCUGUAUGCAGACAUUGAAUAAUAUCAUGUUCUGUAUAGAUAUGACAACAAUACGACGGGGGUUUUCUGUAUGCAGAUAUUGAAUAAUAUCAUGUUCUGUAUAGAUAUGACAACAAUACGACGGGGGGUUUUCUGUAUGCAGACAUUGAAUAAUAUCGUGUUCUGUAUAGAUAUGACAACAAUACGACGGGGGUUUUCUGUAUGCAGACAUUGAAUAAUAUCGUGUUCUGUAUAGAUAUGACAACAAUACGACGGGGGUUUUCUGUAUGCAGACAUUGACUAAUAUAAUGUUCUGUAUAGAUAUGACAACAAUACGACGGGGGUUUUCUGUAUGCAGACAUUGAAUAAUAUAAUGUUCUGUAUAGAUAUGACAACAAUACGACGGAGGGUUUUCUGUAUGCAGACAUUGACUAAUAUCAUGUUCUGUAUAGAUAUGACAACAAUACGACGGAGGGUUUUCUGUAUGCAGACAUUGACUAAUAUAAUGUUCUGUAUAGAUAUGACAACAAUACGACGGGGGUUUUCUGUAUGCAGACAUUGAAUAAUAUCAUGUUCUGUAUAGAUAUGACAACAAUACGACGGGGGUUUUCUGUAUGCAGACAUUGAAUAAUAUCAUGUUCUGUAUAGAUAUGACAACAAUACGACGGGGGUUUUCUGUAUGCAGACAUUGAAUAAUAUCAUGUUCUGUAUAGAUAUGACAACAAUACGACGGAGGGUUUUCUGUAUGCAGACAUUGAAUAAUAUCAUGUUCUGUAUAGAUAUGACAACAAUACGACGGGGGUUUUCUGUAUGCAGACAUUGAAUAAUAUCAUGUUCUGUAUAGAUAUGACAACAAUACGACGGGGGUUUUCUGUAUGCAGACAUUGAAUAAUAUCAUGUUCUGUAUAGAUAUGACAACAAUACGACGGGGGUUUUCUGUAUGCAGACAUUGAAUAAUAUCAUGUUCUGUAUAGAUAUGACAACAAUACGACGGGGGUUUUCUGUAUGCAGACAUUGAAUAAUAUCAUGUUCUAUACCAAAACAUAUUCUUGAAAACAAGUACAGCAUGUAAACCAGAAAUAAAGGCAGAUCAUAGUUUUAAUUCUGUGUCAACAAACUGUUCUAAAAAUAUGUAUCUUGUUCUUCUCGGCUCUGUUGGCUGGUGGAGUUGCUUCAUUGUUAAAUCUAUAUUUUUUUUAAAGGUAUGAUAAAUAUAUAUAUAUAUGUUUUAUAUGAAAAAGGGAUUGGUUUAAAACUGGAGAUUUUAUUUGAUAGAUUUAUAACAUUCAAUUAUGUUUGUUUUUUUUUACAUUUCUUUUAUGUUGAUAAAAUGUUUUGCCUUGAUGAGAACAUGGCAGGCAGGUAGAGGGUGACUAAAAACAAAAUGGCUUCCUUUCAAAACAAUCCCGUUCCGUGUUCACGUGCUAAUCGGAACUUGGACAUUUCAGACAUGCUAACUGGUUGUGGUUACACACGCGCCCGCGUUCAACCAGUUAGAAAGUCUGAAUUUCCUAGUUCCGACUAGCAAGUGAACACGGCGUUAAACCCCCCCAUUUUCCGCGCAGGGAUAUGACAUCAUCAGUAUGAAUCUGCUGCAGGUGUUUUGACGAAUGUUUAUAUGUUGUUGUUUAAAAUAAAAAUUUUUUUUUUUUUUAUCAUUUAAAUGAUUGAUUGUUUUUAAAAAAAAUCAUUUAAAUGAUUGCUUGUUUUUUUAAAACAUUUAAAUUAUUAAUUAAAUAAUUUUUUUAAAAUCAUUUUAAAUGAUUGAUUGUUUUUUAAAUUUUUAUCAUUUUAAUGAUUGAUUGUUUGAUUUUUUAAAACAUUUAAAUUAUUAAUUUUUUUUUUAAAUUUUUAUCAUUUUAAAUGAUUGAUUGUUUUUUAAAUUUUUAUCAUUUUAAUGAUUGAUUGUUUGAUUUUUUAAAGCAUUUAAAUUAUUAUUUUUUUUAUUUUUUUUUAAUCAUUUUUAAUGAUUGAUUGUUAUUUAGUUUUUUAAUCAGAAUGCUGUAUCUCUGUUAAUUGAUUGAAGGCAUCUACCUCAGUGUCCGCAUCACGUUUCAUUUCCAACAGCAGCUGUGACCCCUGGGGUCGUGUUCCAAUGGAAGACAACAGGAAGGGGACUACCUUGAGUUCAACAAUAAGAAACACUCACCCCGUGUUAACUAUGUCACCCCGUGUUACCCCGUGUUAACUAUGUCACCCCGUGUUAACUAUGUCACACCGUGUCACCCCGUGUUAACUAUGUCACCCCAUAUCACCCCAUGUUAACUAUGUCACCCCGUGUUAACUAUGUCACCCUGUGUUAACUAUGGCACCCCAUGUCACCCCGUGUUAACUAUGGCACCCCGUGUCACCCGGUGUUAACUAUGUCACCCCAUGUCACCCCGUGUUAACUAUGCACCCCGUGUCAGGCCCAGUUAAAACAACCAGUAAUGCCCUAUUCGAUGCAGCAUUGUGAUAAACCCUACUGUCUCCCUGGACUGCAGUACAACAUCAACCCAGUACACCAUCAACCCAGUACACCAUCAACCCAGUACACCAUCAACCCAGUACACCAUCAACCCAGUACACCAUAUUAUACAGUGGUAUAGAUAUCACCAUAUUAUACAGGGAACUCAUCACCGUCGACCCAGUCAGAUGUACUGGUAUAGAUAUCACCGUCGACCCAGUCAGAUGUACUGGUAUAGAUAUCACCAUCGACCCAAUCAGAUGUACUGGUAUAGAUAUCACCGUCGACCCAGUCAGAUGUACUGGUAUAGAUAUCACCAUCGACCCAGUCAGAUGUACUGGUAUAGAUAUCACCGUCGACCCAGUCAGAUGUACUGGUAUAGAUAUCACCAUCGACCCAGUCAGAUGUACUGGUAUAGAUAUCACCAUCGACCCAGUCAGAUGUACUGGUAUAGAUAUCACCAUCGACCCAAUCAGAUGUACUGGUAUAGAUAUCACCGAUCGACCCAGUCAGAUGUACUGGUAUAGAUAUCACCGUCGACCCAGUCAGAUGUACUGGUAUAGAUAUCACCAUCGACCCAGUCAGAUGUACUGGUAUAGAUAUCACCAUCGACCCAGUCAGAUGUACUGGUAUAGAUAUCACCCAUCGACCCAGUCAGAUGUACUGGUAUAGAUAUCACCCAUCGACCCAGUCAGAUGUACUGGUAUAGAUAUCACCGCGACCCAGUCAGAUGUACUGGUAUAGAUAUCACCGUCGACCCAGUCAGAUGUACUGGUAUAGAUAUCACCGUCGACCCAGUCAGAUGUACUGGUAUAGAUAUCACCGUCGACCCAGUCAGAUGUACUGGUAUAGAUAUCACCCAUCGACCCAGUCAGAUGUACUGGUAUAGAUAUCACCGUCGACCCAGUCAGAUGUACUGGUAUAGAUAUCACCAUCGACCCAGUCAGAUGUACUGGUAUAGAUAUCACCAUCGACCCAGUCAGAUGUACUGGUAUAGAUAUCACCCAUCGACCCAGUCAGAUGUACUGGUAUAGAUAUCACCCUCGACCCAGUCAGAUGUACUGGUAUAGAUAUCACCAUCGACCCAGUCAGAUGUACUGGUAUAGAUAUCACCCAUCGACCCAGUCAGAUGUACUGGUAUAGAUAUCACCGUCGACCCAGUCAGAUGUACUGGUAU